rnacentral:tRNA from 1 species
UGCGGGGUGGAGCAGUCUGGUAGCUCGUCGGGCUCAUAACCCGAAGGCCGAUGGUUCAAAUCCAUCCCCCGCUA